rnacentral:misc_RNA from 1 species
GUGAAUCAUCGAAUUUUUGAACGCAAAUCGCACUCUCUUCGGAGAGUAUGCCUGUUUGAGGGUCAGCCUAAAAAAAAAUCGACAUAUUUGCUUUUACGCGGUAACUUUCUUCGGAAAUUGGUUCAUCUUAAACCUUUGGUUUUAAGCGGCUUAAAUUUUUCUUUACGAUUCCAAGAAGGUUUCUAAGUUUUUAUUUCUUUAUACUUUUAAGUUAUCGAUCUUUAUUAGCGGUGC